CUUCUCCACUAGGUAGAUAUACCCCGGAUACCGUUUUCUCCAACAGUAAUCUUUCUCCAGUCCUCCAGACGCAGCUUCAGAAGAAUCCUCCAUGGUCAUCUGCAGCGGUUUCUUGUCCAUCUCCUGAAGAGGAACUGCAUGCAACUGAGAGUUCAUGCUGUGGGUGCAAAUGCUUCACCGGAUUCCUUAACCACAUCACAUCUGCUUCCUGCAUCCAAAUCACAUAUCUUUAGUCAUGGGACAGAAGAAAGGACAAUGCUGCUGCAGUUAGUCGUGACUGACGAGAGAACUCACGGUGAAAAUCAGGUUGUACCCGAGUUCUAGAAUCUCUUUCAA